rnacentral:rRNA from 1 species
CCUACGGGAGGCAGCAGUGGGGAAUUUUGGACAAUGGGCGCAAGCCUGAUCCAGCCAUGCCGCGUGAGUGAAGAAGGCCUUCGGGUUGUAAAGCUCUUUCGGUGGGGACGAAAAGGUUCGUGCUAAUACCACGGACUAAUGACGGUACCCGAAGAAGAAGCACCGGCUAACUACGUGCCAGCAGCCGCGGUAAUACGUAGGGUGCAGGCGUUAAUCGGAAUUACUGGGCGUAAAGCGUGCGCAGGCGGUUUGUUAAGACAGAUGUGAAAUCCCCGGGCUUAACCUGGGAACUGCGUUUGUAACUGGCAAGCUAGAGUGUGGCAGAGGGGGGUAGAAUUCCAGGUGUAGCAGUGAAAUGCGUAGAUAUCUGGAGGAAUACCGAUGGCGAAGGCAGCCCCCUGGGUUAACACUGACGCUCAUGCACGAAAGCGUGGGGAGCAAACAGGAUUAGAUACCCUGGUAGUCCACGCCCUAAACUAUGUCAACUGGUUGUCGGGGGAGCAAUCCCUUGGUAACGAAGCUAACGCGUGAAGUUGACCGCCUGGGGAGUACGGCCGCAAGGUUAAAACUCAAAGGAAUUGACGG